rnacentral:piRNA from 1 species
CUCACUCAGGAUGAUGCUCUCCAG